GUAGGGAAUAUUGGACAAUGGGGGGAACCCUGAUCCAGCCAUGCCGCGUGGAGGAAGACUGCCCUCUGGGUUAUAAACUCCUUUUAUAUGGGAAGAACCGUCCUCAUUAAUGAGUGACCUGACGGUACCAUAGGAAUAAGCACCGGCUAACUCCGUGCCAGCAGCCGCGGUAAUACGGAGGGUGCAAGCGUUAUCCGGAUUCACUGGGUUUAAAGGGUGCGUAGGCGGAUAAAUAAGUCAGUGGUGAAAUCAACGGGCUCAACCUGUUAACUGCCAUGGAUACUGUGUAUCUUGAAUAUGAGAGAGGUAGGCGGAAUGUUGCAUGUAGCGGUGAAAUGCUUAGAUAUGCUACGGAACACCGAUUGCGAAGGCAGCUUACUAUUUCGUAAUUGACGCUGAGGCACGAAAGCGUGGGUAGCGAACAGGAUUAGAAACCCCAGUAGUCC
rnacentral:rRNA from 1 species